rnacentral:piRNA from 1 species
UGCCAUGUUAGGUGCUGAACUGCAAUC